UACAGCCACAUCAAGUUGAAAGACCUGUCCACGUACGAUCACCGAAGUUAAGCAACGUUGAGCCUGGUCAGUAUCUAAAUGGGUGACUGCUUGGGAAUACUAGGUGCU